CAGCAGGCGCGAAACCUCUGCAAUAGGCGAAAGCCUGACAGGGUUACUCUGAGUGAUUCCCGCUAAGGGGAUCUUUUGGCACCUCUAAAAAUGGUGCAGAAUAAGGGGUGGGCAAGCCUGGUGUCAGCCGCCGCGGUAAUACCAGCACCCCGAGUGGUCGGGACGAUUAUUGGGCCUAAAGCAUCCGUAGCCGGCCACGCAAGUCCUCCGUUAAAUCCACCCGCUCAACGGUUGGGCUGCGGAGGAUACUACGUGGCUAGGAGGCGGGAGAGGCAAGCGGUACUCAAUGGGUAGGGGUAAAAUCCUUUGAUCCAUUGAAGACCACCAGUGGCGAAGGCGGCUUGCCAGAACGCGCUCGACGGUGAGGGAUGAAAGCUGGGGGAGCAAACCGGAUUAGAUACCCGGGUAGUCCCAGCUGUAAACGAUGCAGACUCGGUGAUGGGAUGGCCUCGAGCCAUCCCAGUGCCGCAGGGAAGCCGUUAAGUCUGCCGCCUGGGGAGUACGGUCGCAAGACUGAAACUUAAAGGAAUUGGCGGGG
rnacentral:rRNA from 1 species